rnacentral:rRNA from 1 species
UCAGCAGGGAAGAAUGCCCGAAUGGNGAAUUUGGGAGCGACGGUACCUGCAGAGGAAGCCCCGGCUAACUCCGUGCCAGCAGCCGCGGUAAUACGGAGGGGGCAAACGUUGUUCGGAAUUACUGGGCGUAAAGGGUGCGUAGGCGGUUCGGCAAGUCUUGCGUGAAAUCUCGUUGCUUAACAACGAAACUGCGCUGGAUACUGCUGAGCUCGAGGGUGGGAGAGGCUAGUGGAAUUCCUGGUGUAGCGGUGGAAUGCGUAGAUAUCAGGAAGAACACUCGUGGCGAAGGCGGCUAGCUGGCCCAUUCCUGACGCUGAGGCACGAAAGCCAGGGGAGCGAACGGGAUUAGAUACCCCGGUAGUCCUGGCCGUAAACGGUGAACACUAGGUGUCGGGGGUAUCGACCCCCUCGGUGCCGGAGCUAACGCAUUAAGUGUUCCGCUUGGGGAGUACGACCGCAAGGUUGAAACUCAAAGGAAUUGACGGGGGCCCGCACAAGCGGUGGAGUAUGUGGUUUAAUUCGACGCAACGCGAAGAACCUUACCAGGGCUCAAACUGCAGGGUAAACCUCUCGAAAGGGAGGCUGCUUCGGCGAUCCUGUAGAGGUGCUGCAUGGCUGUCGUCAGCUCGUGUCGUGAGAUGUUGGGUUAAGUCCCGCAACGAGCGCAACCCUUGUUCUUAGUUACCAGCGCGUUAUGGCGGGGACUCUAAGAAGACUGCCGUCGCAAGACGGAGGAAGGUGGGGAUGACGUCAAGUCCUCAUGGCCCUUAUGUCCUGGGCUACACACGUACUACAAUGGGCGGUACAACGAGUCGCGAGGCCGCGAGGUCAAGCUAAUCUCUUAAAGCCGCCCCCAGUUCAGAUUGCAGUCUGCAACCCGACUGCAUGAAGUCGGAAUCGCUAGUAAUCGCAGAUCAGCACGCUGCGGUGAAUACGUUCCCGGGCCUUGU